rnacentral:ncRNA from 15 species
AUAUAGUAUGCGAGUAUUGGUGGCUUUGAGAUGCCUGAAAAGGGAAUCCGGUGGGAAACCGGAGCUGCCCCCGCAACUGUCAGUGUGGACGAAAGAGCAAACCACUGUACCGGCUGCUUUUUUUGGCGGCGGUAUGGGAAGGGCUUCAUUAGAAUGAAACACAAGCCAGGAGACCUGCCAAUACUUGAAGUUUCUAU